rnacentral:lncRNA from 1 species
ACUACGGAUGGGAAGGUCCUGGGCGCCUGUGGAGUGACCUUGUCCGGACCGCCGCAGACCCUAUCGGCCAGUUCUUGGAGGUGCAGGAAUGUUCUCCAAGGAGUAGGACCGGAAAGGGCUGAGAGCGCGGUUAAUGUCGAGGCUGCUAAGUGACGCUCGUUAACUUCGCAGCAGGGUGUGACUGGCCCAGCCUUGACUCUCAGUUUCCUCUGUAUGUAAAUGGGCAUAAUAAUACCGGUCCAGCCUACGCUGGAGAAUUGUGAGGUGAAAAUGAAAUAAGCUAGGUGUGAUCAGGUGACUAAGUGCUGGCCAACAGUAUAUACUUGGAAGUCUUUCUUCUCCUCUUCUCCCUUCUUGCUGGCUGGAAUGUGUAUGUAAUGAGUGAAGUUUGAACGUCCAUACUGCACUGUAAGAUGAAGGCCACAUGCUAACAAUGGUGGAGUAGCAAGAGAGAAGUCUCCUGGAUCCCUGAUGAUUUUGUGAAGCCACCACUCCACCCUUGCACUGCCUAGCUCUGGAUUUAUUUUAUAGAUGAGGUCUCACGAUGUUGCCCAGGCUGGUCUCCAACUCCUGGGCUCAAGGGAUUCUCCUGCUUCGGCCUUGCAAAGUGCUGAGAUCACAGCCAUGAACCACACUGCACCUGGCCUUACCAGGUAGCCCCUGUGAUACUGAAGAAAAGGAUUUUGUUCAGUUGCUAGAGGAGAGUCAUUCUGUUUGUGUCUCCUGCCAGAUGAAAAUCAAGAAGCAUCUAUCCCUAAUUGUAACUAACAACCAUCCUCAAACCAAGAGGAAUACCAGCUGUAGGAUGAAAAAAACAAUACUGGAGUUCAGAGUAAAGAGAUAGAAAGAGCCUGACACCUUUUGAUGACAUUAUUAUUUGAACUGUGUCAACCAAAACUGAAAUGAACUUUCCCUCUGUACCCCAAUUACAUGAGCUUUUAAUUUCUUCAUUAUUAAAUCUGAUUGAAUUGA